AUUGAACGCUGGCGGAAUGCUUUACACAUGCAAGUCGAACGGCAGCAUAGGUGCUUGCACCUGAUGGCGAGUGGCGAACGGGUGAGUAAUACAUCGGAACGUGCCCAGUCGUGGGGGAUAACGUAGCGAAAGUUACGCUAAUACCGCAUACGAUCUAAGGAUGAAAGCGGGGGGCCGUAAGGCCUCGCGCGAUUGGAGCGGCCGAUGUCAGAUUAGGUAGUUGGUGAGGUAAAGGCUCACCAAGCCGACGAUCUGUAGCUGGUCUGAGAGGACGACCAGCCACACUGGGACUGAGACACGGCCCAGACUCCUACGGGAGGCAGCAGUGGGGAAUUUUGGACAAUGGACGCAAGUCUGAUCCAGCCAUUCCGCGUGCAGGACGAAGGCCUUCGGGUUGUAAACUGCUUUUGUACGGAACGAAAAAGCUCUUACUAAUACUAGGAGUCCAUGACGGUACCGUAAGAAUAAGCACCGGCUAACUACGUGCCAGCAGCCGCGGUAA
rnacentral:rRNA from 1 species